CACUCCUGCGGGAGGCAGCAGUGGGGAAUAUUGCACCAUGGGCGCAAGCCUGAUGCAGCCAUGCCGCGUGUAUGAAGAAGGCCUUCGGGUUGUAAAGUACUUUCAGCGGGGAGGAAGGCAAUACGGUUAAUAACCGUGUUGAUUGACGUUACCCGCAGAAGAAGCACCGGCUAACUCCGUGCCAGCAGCCGCGGUAAUACGGAGGGUGCAAGCGUUAAUCGGAAUUACUGGGCGUAAAGCGCACGCAGGCGGUCUGUCAAGUCGGAUGUGAAAUCCCCGGGCUCAACCUGGGAACUGCAUUCGAAACUGGCAGGCUUGAGUCUUGUAGAGGGGGGUAGAAUUCCAGGUGUAGCGGUGAAAUGCGUAGAGAUCUGGAGGAAUACCGGUGGCGAAGGCGGCCCCCUGGACAAAGACUGACGCUCAGGUGCGAAAGCGUGGGGAGCAAACAGGAUUAGAAACCCCUGUAGUCCCAUGA
rnacentral:rRNA from 1 species